rnacentral:lncRNA from 1 species
GAAGAGGAAGAAUUGCAGUUAGUGUUUCUCAUGCUGAAAACAGUUGAUCCCAAGGACUGGAAGAAUCAGGAUCAUUAUGCAGUUCUUGGACUUAGCCAUGUAAGAUACAAAGCUACACAGAGACAGAUCAAAGCAGCUCAUAAAGUAGUGGUUUUAAAACAUCAUGGAAAGCAGCCAGUGAACCAAUAAAAGAAAGGGAUAAUGACUACUUCACUUGCAUCACUGAAAUUAUAAAAUGUAUGACCCAGUGAAAAGAGGAGCAUUUAACAGUGUAGAUCAUACAUUUGGAAACUCAGUUCCUUCUAAAAGUGAAGCAAGGGAUAGUUUCUUUGAAGUGUUUUUCCCACUAUUCGAAAAUAAUUCCAGAUGGUCCAAAAAAAGUUUCUAAACCUGGUGUUAUGAAUUCAUCAUUUUAUUCCUUCUGGUAUAGUUUUUAUGCUUGGACAGAGUUUUCUUAUUUAAAUACAGAAGAAAAAAAAGCAGAAUAUUGUGACAAGAGAGGGAUUGAAAAGAAGAACAGAGCAACAAGAGCUCAAAGAAAGAAAGAAGAAAUGAAUUGAAAACAUUAGUUGAUAAUACACAUAGCUGUGAUACAAGGAUAAAAAAAUUCAAAGAACAGAAAGCCAAGGCCAGGCAUAGUGGCUCAUGUCUGUGAUUCUUGCACUUUGGGAGACCAAGACGGGUGGAUCCCUUGAGCCCAGGAGUUCGAGACCAGCCUGGGCAACAUGAUGAAACCCUGUCUCUACAAAAAACUUAGCCAGGUGUGUUGGUGCGCACCUGUAGUCCCAGCAACUUGGGAGGCUGAGGUAGGAUAAUUGCUUGAGCCUGGGAGGCUGAGGCUGAGUGAGGUGAGCCGUGAUCACACCACUGCACUCCAGCUUGGGUGAGAGCAAGACUCUGUUUCAACAUUAAAAAAAGAAGAGAAAGCCGAGAAAGAAGCAAGAUGGAAGAAGCGAGAGGCUAAAGAAAAACAAAGACAAGCUGAAUUAGAAGCUGCUUGAAUAGCUAAGGAGAAAGAAGAGGAAGUUAAAUAAGGAGCAUUGUUGGCAAAGAAGGGAAAAGAUAUCCAGAAAAGAGUUGUUAAAAGGAAAAGACAAACCUUCAAAAUUCAAGGAAGACCUGAAAUCACUUUUUCUGACAAUAAGUGGAGCAGCUUAAAAAGGUGGAAGAAGUGGAAAAACUUUGUGAUAGGCUUCAACUAGCAAGUUUAUAGCACUUCAGUGAAAUACCUCAUCUACAAAAACACUAGGAAUGGCUGCUCUCCUAAAAACGGAAGAAAUAAAUGAGCCAAUUAGAACAGAGAAAGAGGAAGGGGAGGCUUGUGUGUGACAAGCAUCUAAGAAUGCAGAGAAAUCAACUGUCGAAGGUGGAAAUGGCAGUAAAAAUUGGUCAGAGGAGCAUUGGUCUGCAGUUACUAAUUAAAGCCAUAGGCCCCUUUUCUGCAUGAACAAAUUCAAUAUGGGAAGUUAUUACCAAUUAUAUGAACACACAUUCUUUUUUUGGAGUCAAGAGAACUUUUUGGCAAAGAAAAUUGAGCCUCUAAAAACUUGACCCUCACAAAAAAAAGAUGACAAAAAAGGCUUUGGAUAACCUUUAAAAGAACAUGGAAUAGUCUCUCAAGUACAUGAAGUAGGCCUCCUUCAGAUGUACCUGAAGAUGAGGAAAAAUAGAGGGAGCAGUGCCUGGCAGGACAAAAGAGGACCUCAGGAAACAAUAUAAGGAAGUUGUUGAGGUGGUAAAGGCAAUGAAAUGCCCAGGAGCAACUGCUGAAUGCAAAUGGAGCCGAGAAA